rnacentral:lncRNA from 1 species
CGUCUUCCAAGGCAUUGAACCUCCCAACUUCUCCUCCACGCCUUCUUCCAAGUGCUUUCUCCUCAACCAAACGUAAACGUCAUCCCUGACGUUAACAUCCUCUAGAACAUCACGUGUUUGUUCCCGACACGACGAAUAAUACACUUUCUUCAAACCAGCUAAGCACUUUUUUUUAAUAGUUUCACAAACUAAAUUGGUCAAAUGCAUGGCCACGAAUCUCUCAGGCCAUUUCUUGUU